AUUGAACGCUGGCGGCAUGCCUUACACAUGCAAGUCGAACGGCAGCACGGGAGCAAUCCUGGUGGCGAGUGGCGAACGGGUGAGUAAUAUAUCGGAACGUGCCCAGUAGUGGGGGAUAACUGCUCGAAAGAGCAGCUAAUACCGCAUACGACCUGAGGGUGAAAGGGGGGGAUCGCAAGACCUCUCGCUAUUGGAGCGGCCGAUAUCAGAUUAGCUAGUUGGUGGGGUAAAGGCCUACCAAGGCAACGAUCUGUAGUUGGUCUGAGAGGACGACCAGCCACACUGGGAAUGAGACGCGGCCCAGACGCCUACGGGAGGCAGCCGUGGGGAAUUUUGGACAAUGGGCGCAAGCCUGAUCCAGCAAUGCCGCGUGCAGGAAGAAGGCCUUCGGGUUGUAAACUGCUUUUGUCAGGGAAGAAAUCCUCUAGGUUAAUACCCUUGGGGGGAUGACGGUACCUGAAGAAUAAGCACCGGCUAACUACGUGCCAGCAGCCGCCGUAAGAC
rnacentral:rRNA from 1 species